rnacentral:lncRNA from 1 species
GGAGAAAUGGUUAUGUCGUGGAGGCAGACAUAGAGAAUUCCCUCGUCUCCAGGAGCUUUCUAUAGUGAUGUGUCACCAACUCAUUGGGGAAUUACCAAUACACCUUCCUUCAUUGAAGGAACUUUACGUUGAAAAUUGUUCGCAGCUGCUUGUGCCUACACUCAAUGUUCCUGUUGUUCGUAGAUUGCUCUUGAAAAGGGAAACUUGUGGCUUCACAGCUCUUCAAACUUCAGAAAUUGAAAUUUCAGAUGUCUCUCAGUUGAAGCAACUUGCAGUGAUACCCCACAAUCUCUUCAUUAAAAAUUGUGAUUCUGUGAAGUCUCUACUAGAGGACGAAUUCCUACAAACCAACAUGUACGGUUUGGAAAUUUGUGAUUGCUCUUUUUCCAGAUCCCCGAGGAAAGUUGGCUUACCUAUAACAUUGAAAUCACUAUCAAUCUCUAACUGUUCCAAAUUGGACCUUCUUCUACCUGAGUUAUUCAAAUGUCAUCACCCUAUCCUUGAAAAUCUAUCGAUCGAUGGUGGUACCUGUUAAGCCAUGUACAGUUGUAACUAAACCAAAUUAGUUAGAAACCUGUAUCUAGAUGAUUAGUUCUGGUAUUGUUAAAUAAUUAGUUAUAAAGUAUAACUAACUUCAAAUACAUAUAAAUAUGUUGAAUCACUUCUCACAAAGAAGAAGAAAUCUCAAGAAAAUAAAGUCUUUCAGAAGUUCAAGAAACCUCUGUUUCACUUUGUUUUCAAUUUUAUUCCAUUCAGCUUUCUUUCAAUUCUCACAAUACCUAUGAUAAUUCUCUCCCGUUAUCCUUCUCAAUAUUGGACAUCUCCCCCAAGUUGACUAAUUUCACAAUCAAUGGUCUUAAGGGGCUUGAGAAGCUCUGCAUUUCGAUUUCAGAGGGGGAUCCCACAUCUCUUCAUAAAUUGGAAAUCAAUGGGUGCUAUGAUCUUGUAUACAUCCAACUGC